AUUAGAGGCAUUGCCUGCCCAGUGACUAUAGUUUAACGGCCGCGGUAUCCUGACCGUGCAAAGGUAGCAUAAUCAUUUGUUCCUUAAUUAGGGACUAGUAUGAACGGCUAGACGAGGGAUCAACUGUCUCUUAUUUUUAAUCAGUGAAAUUGACCUUCCAGUGAAGAGGCUGGAAUACAAUAAUAAGACGAGAAGACCCUAUGGAGCUUAAAUUAACAAGCUUAAUUAUUACACUACUAUACCCUAAUGGCACAAAACAAAAAAUAUAAGCUUAAAAUUUUGGUUGGGGUGACCUCGGAGAAUAAAAAAUCCUCCGAAAGAUAUAUAACAUAGACCUACAAGUCAAAGUAACCCAAUUAUCCAAUUGACCCAAAAAAUUGAUCAACGGACCAAGUUACCCUAGGGAUAACAGCGCAAUCCUAUUUAAGAGUUCAUAUCGACAAUAGGGUUUACGACCUCGAUGUUGGAUCAGGACAUCCCAAUGGUGCAGAAGCUAUUAAUGGUUCGUUUGUUCAACGAUUAAAGUCCUACGUGAUCUA
rnacentral:rRNA from 1 species